rnacentral:rRNA from 1 species
GAUGAACGCUGGCGGCGUGCUUAACACAUGCAAGUCGAACGAAGCGCUUGAGAUUGAUUCUUCGGAUGAUUUCUCUUGUGACUUAGUGGCGGACGGGUGAGUAACGCGUGGGUAACCUGCCUCACACAGGGGGAUAACAGUUGGAAACGACCGCUAAUACCGCAUAACCCGCUAGGGCCGCAUGGCCCGGACGGAAAAGAUUUAUCGGUGUGAGAUGGACCCGCGUUGGAUUAGCUAGUUGGCAGGGUAAUGGCCUACCAAGGCGACGAUCCAUAGCCGGCCUGAGAGGGUGAACGGCCACAUUGGGACUGAGACACGGCCCAAACUCCUACGGGAGGCAGCAGUGGGGAAUAUUGCACAAUGGGGGAAACCCUGAUGCAGCGACGCCGCGUGAGUGAAGAAGUAUUUCGGUAUGUAAAGCUCUAUCAGCAGGGAAGAAAAUGACGGUACCUGACUAAGAAGCCCCGGCUAACUACGUGCCAGCAGCCGCGGUAAAAC